rnacentral:misc_RNA from 1 species
GAAUGUAUCGGCAAGAGUGAUGCAAAGUCAGCUACUAGGUAAUCAGUUCUCUAAUCCAAUUGGUGUUCCUCUAUGUUAUAACAGCAAACAAGUCCAAGAAGAUAAAAUCACCAAUACGGACAGGUACAUAUUGAAAAGCAUAUCUGAAGCACAUAAAUAAUUUAACAAUCUAAAUCAUGACCAAAUAAAUAUCUAGAUGGGUUGUGGACCAGAGUAGGGCCUUACUAUCUACACAGUUCAGUUCAGUUUAGUUUAGAUAAAUUUAUAAACUAAAACCAAACUGAAUUGCUAUGUUUUUGGCUUUUUCGUUGGACCUAAAUCUAAUGCAAGAAUCGAACUUCAAAAGAAUAAAAAAAUCUUCGAAUUAUAUUAAUUAACUUUCAUAACUAACAAACCAAUCAGGCAUAAUUUAAUAGGUCAC